CCCCCCCCUCCCCCCCCAGAAUGCUGCAUGUAGACCGGCGCAUCCUGCAGAAUGCUGUACGCAACGUCCUCGAUGGAGAACUGCUGAACCGUUACCUAUACCUCAGCACCAUGGAGCGCAGUGAGCUGGCCAAGAAGAUAGGCACCACACCUGACAUCAUCCUGGACGACUUGCUGGAGACAGACCGCGUCACGGCUCACUUCUAACUCUAGGAUGCCACACCCUGCUGUUGUAUACCUCCCUCUUCCCGUUUUGUAUAAAACACAAAGAAAACAAUUUCUUUCAG
rnacentral:lncRNA from 1 species